rnacentral:lncRNA from 1 species
CGGAGGUGUCGUCCGUUCGGCACUAGAUCGGAGCGGAUCGUGGGACGGAUCGCGGGACGGUUCGUGGGACGGUUCGCGGGGCGGAUCGAGGGACAUGAGGACGUUCCACUACAUCAACCGCGUUUAUUAACGCUUCUGCUAUGCGAUCUACAAGGGUACGUAGAUCUGAAAUCCCCCUCGUAGAUGGACAUCACCAUGAUAGGUCUUCGUGCGCGUAGGAAAAUUUGUGUUUCCCAUGCGAUGUUCCCCAACAGUGGCAUCAUGAGCUAGGUUCAUGCAUAGAUGUCUUCUCGAGUAGAACACAAAAGUUUUUGUGGGCGGUGAUGUGCGAUUUGCUGCCCUCCUUAGUCUUUUCUUGAUUCCGCGGCAUUGUUGGAUCGAAGCGGCUCGGACCGACAUUACUCGUACGCUUACGAGAGACUGGUUUCAUCGCUACAAGUAACUCCGUUGCUCAAAGAUGACUGGCGAGUGUCAGUUUCUCCAACUUUAGUUGAAUCGGAUUUGACCGAGGAGGUCCUUGGAUGAGGGUAAAUAGCAAUUCAUAUAUCUCCGUUGUGGUGUUUGCGUAAGUAAGAUGCGAUCCUACUAGAUACCCAUGGUCACCACUUAAAACAUGAAACAACAAUUAGAGGACGUCUAACUUGUUUUUGCAGGGUAUGCUUGUGAUGUGAUAUGGCCAACGAUGUGAUGUGAUAUAUUGGAUGUAUGAGAUGAUCAUGUUGUAAUAGUUAAUAUCGACUUGCACGUCGAUGGUACAGCAACCGACAGGAGCCAUAGGGUUGUCUUUAAACUAACGUUUGUGCUUGCAGAUGCGUUUACUAUAUUGCUAGGGUGUAGCUUUAGUAGUAAUAGCAUGAGUAGCACAACAACCCCGAUGGCGACACGUUGAUGGAGAUCAUGGUGUCGCGCCGGUGACAGAAGAUCGUGUCAGUGCUUUGGUGAUGGAGAUCAAGAAGCAUGUGAUGAUGGCCAUAUCAUGUCACUUAUGAAUUACAUGUGAUGUUAAUCCUUUUAUGCACCUUAUUUUUCUUCGAACGACGGUAGCAUUAUGCGGUAAUAUCUCACUAAAAUUUCAAGACGAAAUUGUGUUCUUCCCGACUGUGCACCGUUGCUACAGUUCGUCAUUUCGAGACACCACAUGAUGAUCGGGUGUGAUAGACUCAACGUUCACAUACAACAGGUGCAAAACAGUUGCACACGCGAAACACUCGGAUUAAGCUUGACGAGCCUAGCAUGUGCAGACAUGGCCUCGGAACACAUGAAACCGAAAGGUCGAUCAUGAAUCAUAUAGUUGAUAUGAUUAGCAUAGGGAUGCUUACCACUGAAACUAUCCUCAACUCACGUGAUGAUCGGACUUGAGCUAGUGGAAUUGAAUCAUGAACCACUCAAAUGACUAGAGAGAUGUAGUUUUUGAGUGGGAGUUUAGCAAGUAAUUUGAUUAAGUUAAACUCUAAUUAUCUAGAACAUAGUCUAAGUCCACUUUGAAUAUAUUUGUGUUGUAGAUCAUGGCUCACGCGACAGUCACCCUGAAUUUUAAAACGUUCCUAGAGAAAGCUAAGUUGAAAGAUGAUGGAAGCAACUUUGUAGACUGGGCUCGUAAUCUUAAGUUGCUCCUGCAAGCUGGGAAGAAGGAUUAUGUCCUUAAUGCUGCGCUAGGAGAUGAACCACCCGCUACGGUUGACCAAGAUGUUAAGAACGCUUGGUUAACACGUAAGGAGGACUACUCAAUAGUUCAAUGUGCAGUCUUGUAUGGCUUAGAACCGGGACUUCAACGUCGCUUUGAGCGUCAUGGAGCAUAUGAGAUGUUCCAGGAGUUGAAGUUUAUCUUUCAGAAGAACGCCCGGAUCGAGAGGUAUGAGACCUCCGAUAAAUUCUAUGCUUGCAAGAUGGAGGAGAAUUCGUCUGUCAAUGAACAUGUGCUCAAAAUGUCUGGGUACUCAAACCGUCUAGCUGAGCUGGGGAUUGAACUCCCGCAAGAGGCUAUCACUGACAGAAUUCUUCAAUCACUGCCGCCAAGCUAUAAGGGCUUUGUGUUGAACUACAACAUGCAAGGGAUGAACAAGUCUCCCGGCGAGUUGUUCGCGAUGCUGAAAGUCGCAGAGUCAGAACUCCGUAAAGAGCAUCAAGUGUUGAUGGUGAAUAAGACCACUAGUUUCAAGAGAAAUGGCAAAGGAAAGAAGGGUAAUUCAAAGAAGAGUGGCAAGCCUGUUGCCAAUCCGACGAAGAAACCCAAAGCUGGACCUAAGCCUGAAACGGAGUGCUAUUAUUGCAAGGGUAUGGGUCACUGGAAGCGCAACUGCCCCAAGUAUCUGGCUGAUAAGAAGGCGGCCAAAGAAAAAUCAGGUAUAUUUCAUAUACAGGUUAUUGAUGUGUACUUAACCAGCUCUCGUAGUAGUGCCUGGGUAUUCGAUAUCGGUUCUGUUGCUCACAUUUGCAACUCGAAACAGGAACUGCGAAAUAAGCGAAGGCUGGGAAAAGAUGAAGUGACGAUGCGCGUGGGAAAUGGUUCCAAGGUUGAUGCAAUCGCCGUCGGCACAGUUUCACUUCAGUUACCAUCAGGAUUAGUUAUGAACUUGAAUAAUUGUUAUUUAGUGCAUGCGUUAAGCAUGAACAUUAUAUUUGGAUCUUGUUUAUUGUAAGACGGUUACUCGUUUAAGUCAGAGAAUAAUGGUUGUUCUAUUUCUAUGAGUAAUAUCUUUUAUGGUCAUGCACCCAAUGUGAGAGGAUUGUUCAUAUUGAAUCUUGAUAGUGAUCAUACACAUAUACAUAACAUUGAUACCAAAAGAGUUAGUUAACAAUGAUAGCGCCAUGUUUUUGUGGCACUGCCGCUUAGGUCAUAUUGGUGUAAAGCGCAUGAAGAAACUCCAUACCGAUGUACUUUUGGAGUCACUUGACUUUGAUUCACUUGACACGUGCAAACCAUGCCUCAUGGGAAAGAUGACUAAAACUCCGUUCUCCGGAACAAUGGAGCGUGCAAGUGACUAAUUGGAAAUCAUACAUACCGAUGUAUGUGGUCCGAUGAGCGUGGAGGCACACGGCGGAUAUCGUUAUUUUCUCACCUUCACUGACGAUUUGAGUAGAUAUGGUUAUGUCUACUUGAUGAAGCACAAGUCUGAAACAUUUGAAAAGUUCAAGCAAUUUCAGAGUGAAGUUGAAAAUCAUCGUAACAAGAAGAUCAAGUUCCCGCGGUCUGAUUGUGGGGGUGAAUAUCUGAGUUCCGAGUUUGGUGCUCACUUAAAACAAUGUGGAAUUGUUUCACAGUUGACACCGCCUAGAACACCACAGCGUAAUGGUGUGUCCGAACGUCGUAAUCGUACUUUAUUAGAGAUGGUGCGAUCUAUGAUGUCUCUUACCGAUGUGUCGUUAUCAUUUUGGGGUUAUGCAUUAGAAACAGAUGCAUUCACUAUAAAUAGGGCACCAUCAAAAUUCGUUGAGACGACACCAUACGAACUGUGGUAUGGCAAAAGACCAAAGUUGUCGUUUCUUAAAGUUUGGGGAUGUGAUGCUUAUGUCAAAAAGCUUCAGCCUGAAAAGCCUGAAAAGUUAUCGUUUUCCUCUAGAUCGCGUUUCUCUGGAGCCCUGCUGAGAUUAGAUCACCACCAACCUCCGGAGCGCCGUCACGCUGCCGGAGAACUCAUCUACCUCUCCGUCUCUCUUGCUGGAUCAAGAAGGACGAGAUCAUCGUCGAGCUGUACGUGUGAUGAACGUGGAGGUGCCGUCCGUUCGGCACUAGAUCGGAGCGGGUCGUGGGACGGAUCGCGGGACGGUUCCUGGGACGAUUCACGGGGCGGAUGAGGGAUGUGAGUACGUUCCACUACAUCAACCGCGUUUAUUAGCGCUUCUGUUGUGCGAUCUACAAGGGUACGUAGAUCUGAAAUCCCCCUCGUAGAUGGACAUCACCCUGAUAGGUCUUCGUGCGCGUAGGAAAAUUUUUGUUUCCCAUGCGACGUUCCCCAACAAACACUCUCAAGGAUAAAAAUCCCCUGCGACUGAAGAUCACCUACUUAAGGGAGUCAAGGACUUCCGCGUCGACAAGAAGCUACACAAAAACCAUGACACUUCUAUUCUAACAUGAGACAUCUAGAUGUCACUAACCAACAUAAGUAACCCCCGGACCAACAUGCAAACACACCAUUGUGCAACAUAUUCCGACUUUGGGAUACACACGCUAACUAGACCCUUGCAUUACCUCGUUCACCACGCCCUCGACCCUUAGUCAAGCCUAGCAUAUUGCAGGAACCCCAAUCACUAUCAAACAAAGCCAAGCGAUGCACUCAGAGCUGUAUCAUCAAGAACUUCAAGAACCAAUCGAGAAAUCACGUCAAAGAAGAAGCAACACAGGAACGUGAAGUCUACCUCAAGCCCGAAUUUUUAUAUCUCUACAACACCUAGCCUAGGAAUCUCGGGGACGAGAUUCUUGUAAGGUGGUAGGUCUGUCACACCCUAUGUUUUUCCUCUCCUAACUAAGUCAACAUAGCUAAAAAAUUAGGACCAAUUAAAACUUUUGUGUGCUUAUGAUGCUUGACUUGAUUGUCAUUGCUUCUGUGCUUGUUUGUGUUUUAAAAUCACAAAAAUCCCCCUUCUCUCAAGACUCAUCUCGUUGCUCCAAAUCUUUCCUCAAUGACCAUACCAUGUGUAUAGGACCUAAAACUAUUUUUAUAAAUAUUAUUUUGACCAAAAAAUAUUUAUGCUCUAUUUGGAUGUAGAUAUUGGGUGCUAGAAGUCAGCUUUGGCAUUGCCCUGGCCUGACUACGGCUGUUUGGAUAGCCUGGGCAUUCGGGUAAGGUAUUCGCGCAUGAUAUCGUAGCAUGCUCCCCAACACUGGAACGGCCCAUUCCGAAUACCUUUCCUCAGCCCUCCGUAUUCAAAGAUUUCCUCACCCCUUCGCUCUCCCUCACAAGAAAAAGGGAUCUCGAGGAAGCGGGAGACUAAGAGGCGCACGAGGCGGCGAUCCCCCGGCAGCGGCGCCCCCUCCGGCAAUCCUUCAGCCAUCCUCCGGCAUCGACUUGACCAGAACCCUCCACCUCGCCCCCGUAAAUCAUUCAGUCCAUUCCUUCCGCAGUCGCCCCUCUCUCCAGAUGGCUUACUACUGUUGCGGUCAGCCAUGGCCAUGGCACGGUGUGGAGGCCAUCGCUGCUGGUCAUCUUAGCGUCGCCGCCGCUCCAAUGCCCAAUGCCCAAUUCAACACUUUAUGCAUCCAAACAAGAUUUGGCAUUGAUCCUUCCCUCGAAUUCCAAGUACCCAAUAGAUAAACAUCCAAACAACAAGUCUCGCAUUGAAGCUCAAUACCAAUAUCUUGGAAUAUUGGACACUGGAGCCAAUGCAAUACCUUGAUCUUGAAUGUCUACAUCCAAACAUAGCGUUAUUUAAUUUAAGCUUUCAAAAAACCCUUAAAAUGAGAUUUGUACUACAAGUCCUCAAAUUAAGGAAUAUGUUUGGCCCCAAAUAUUUUAUUUUGACCCUAUUAUCAAAAAUACUUCCCAAAACCACAAAAACAUUAUUUUAGAAGUUAUUUUCCUAUUUUAUUUAAAUAACUUUUCUAAGGACAAAAAUGGUCUUUUCUAGGGGGAAAUUAUUUUGUGCUUCAAAAAUAUUUGAGAAAAAUUAGGGAUCCUCGAUGGGCAUAUAUUUUACAUAUAUAAGAGUUUCAACACAUUGUCAUGUUCAAAAUAUUCGACAAAAUCCUUCAAAACCUUUUCUGCUUACUUCAAGUAUUUGAAAUAUUUCUAUAAGAAAUAUUCUCAAAUAAUUCGAGGAAAAUUAUAGCAAGUCACAUAUGCCACAUGUGAUCAUCUUGCCAAGUUUAAUCCAAAUCCUAGUUGUUUUGAUGCACCAAAAUAUUCCAGGACCAUCUCUAUCCAGAUCCAAACUUGUGUAAAUUUACAUUGACAAGUACCUCCAUUUGUGCUCAAAUUAUGUGGACAUGUUCUAAUCCUCUAAUCAUACAUCCACACCAAGCGGUGCAACAAGGAGAACAUAUCCACGUGUUUAAAUCCCCCCAACCCCAUUUCUGUUGAUUUCUAGAAUUCGGAAAUUUUUCAUUGUCAAGUUUCUACAAUUAGUACCAAACUUUUUGGGCUUCCUCUAAUACCCAAAUGAUGUCAUCACACCUAGUGGUGCAUUAAGGAGAAUAUAAUUGCAUGACUAGAUCUUAGCAUAACCUUUUCUGCCCAUUUCUAUGGUUUAUAAAGUUUGCAUUGGAAACUUUCAUCAUAUAAUCCCAAAAUUGGUGACAAACCUCAUUUCCAUCUACCAUUUGAUACUCUUAAAUCUCAAGGCAUGUUGAACCUUUUUUCUUGCCCAAAACAGCAACAAACACCUUCUGGUGAUUUGGUAACAACCCUGUUUGAGCCCUUUUACUAUUCUCCUUGGUCUCAAAAUUUUACCAGAGAUCAUCCCAGCUACAUUGCAUCUCUAGUGACCUUUGCAUGGCCAUAGCACAAUCAUUCAUGGGAUAAAAACCCCUUUACCCCCUCUAGAUAGAACCUUUCUCACCCCCUCAGCUUUCCAUCUCAGCAAAGGUAGCCAGCAGAGCAUCCUAUGUGUUUCCCACUUUGUUUAAACCUCUCUUAAGAUUCUGGGCAAAGUUGGCCGCGCCAAAAACGCCAAUGGCAUGCCAUGGCAUUCCAUAUGAGCACUCUAGAGCGUGCUACAAGUGCGCACUGUAACCGGUGCCCAAUCGCCUCCUGAUAACCCAAAAGUAUAGGGGAUCACAAUAGUUUUCGAGGGUAGAGUAUUCAACCCAAAUUUAUUGAUUCGACUCAAGGGGAGCCAAAGAAUAAUCUCGAGUAUUAGCACGUGAGUUGUCAAUUCAACCACACCUAAAAGACUUAAUAUGUGCAGCAAAGUAUUUAGUAGCAAAGUAAUCUGAAAGUAACUGUAACGGUGGCAAAUGUGAGAGUAGCAGUUUUGUAGUGAUUGUAACAAUAGCAAGUAAAAGUACCUCACCAAAGAUCAAUAUGUAGAAAGCUCGUACGCAAUGGAUUAGUGAUAGAUAAUUAUGUCGGAUGGCAUUCAUCAUGCAACAGUCAUAACAUAGGGUGAUACAGAACUAGCUCCAAUUCAUCAAUGAAUGUAGGAAUAUAUUACAUAUAUAGUCAUACGUGCUUAUGGAAAAUAACUUGCGUGACAUCUUUUGUCCUACCCUCCCGUGGCAGUGGGGUCCUAAUGGAAACUAAGGGAUAUUAAGGCCUCCUUUUAAUAGAGAACCGGACCAAAGCAUUAGCACUUCGUGAACACAUGACCUCCUCAAACUACGGUAAUCACCGGAAAGAAUCUCAGUUAUUGUCACCCUGGGGGAUGCGGAUCAUAACUCGUAAUAGGUGUCUACAACUUGCAAGAUAGGAUCAAGAACACAUAUAUAUUCAUGAAAACAUAAUAGGUUCAGAUCUGAAAUCAUAGCACUCAGGCCCUAGUGACAAGCAUUAAGCAUAGCAAAGUCAUGGCAACAUCAACCUCAGAAUAUAGUGGAUACUAGGGAUCAAACCCUAACAAAACUAACUCGAUUGCAUGGUAAAUCUCAUCCAACCCAUCAUCGUCCAGCAAGCCUACGAUGGAAUUACUCACGAACGGAGGAGAGCAUUAUGAAAUUGGUGAUGAAGGAUGGUUGAUGAUGACGACGACGCCGAUUUCCCCUCUCCGGAGCCCAAAUCAGACUCCAGAUCUGCCCUCCCGACGAAGAACGGGAGGUGGCAGCGGCUCCGUAUCGUAAAACGUGAUGAACUCUCUUCCUUUAUUUUUUCAUCCUCAAAAUAGGAAUAUAUAGAAGUGGAAACAAGGUCGAAGGAGCCACAGGGGCCCCACAAGACAGGGGUGCGCCCUACAUGUAGCCAGGUGGUGGCCCCUCUCUAGUUGAUUCCUUCGCCAAUAUUUUUUAUUAAUUCCAAAAAUAUUCCCCAUAAAUUUUCAGGUCAAUUCAAAAACUUUUAUUUCUGCACAAAAAUAACACCAAGGCAAAUCUGUUGAAAACAGCGUCAGCCCGGGUUAGUUCCAUUCAAAUCAUGCAAAUUAUAGUCCAAAACAAAGGGCAAAAGAGUUUGGAAAAGCAGAUACGUUCGAGCCGUAUCAACUCCCCGACCGCCUCGGGCCUCUACAUCAUGUCCCCUGAGACACCCUCGACGUCCGGGACACGCAUCCCUGUCGGCCCCCUCCUCUCUCUCCUCCUUCCUUCCUCAUCCCGCGUGUGCCGAGCGCCGCCCAGUUCGGCUAACCUCGAGCUUCACACGCGAGAUGCCUAUGACCUUGCCCUACUCUCUCUCUCUAUCUCUCUCUCCUCUCCCUCUCCCUCUCUCAGCAAUUGCCACGGACGUCCGUUAGCUCCUCUUACAGUGCACCAUCGGUCGUCUAUAAAAGCCACUGCCACGGCCCUCUCUCCCUUCUGACCACCUUCUCAGUCCCCAAUUGAGCUCCUACUCCUCCCACACCAGCCGCACGAGCCCCUGCACUCGGAUCAGACCCGAGCUCUGUCGUCGCGGACGACCAUCGAUCUCGUGGUACAUGCUCUCUCUGAUCCUCCUUUUCUUCCAAUGGAUCCUCCUAGCCACCCUCGUGUGCUUCCCCUUGUCUUCCUCAUUGAUUGGAGUCGGGGACGACCGAGGUGACCCUCUCCCAAACCCCCUCCGCGGUGCUCGCUCGUCGCCAGCAAACCAGGGUUCUUUGAUGCUCCUCUCCGCCACCAAUCGACGUGCGGCGACGCCAUGAGCACGAUGGUGCCACACCCGCAUCGAGCCACCGCCGGGAACAUCGACAGUGAGGUCCUCCCUGAUCUGGCUAGAGAAGAGUGAUGACAUGCAUCCCCCAUGUGUUAUCCCCUUCAUUCCCUCUCUCUUGCUGAUGGGCAAGGUUCACCUAUCAGGUUUGAAGCGCGGUGUGGUGUGCACCGCUUUGGGUGGUGACAUAUUCUAGGAAUACGCUAUCGAUGUGGCCCUCCUGCUGCCAAGCGAUGUGCCCUGGGCCGGCUCUGCUCGCUCUUUUCAGUCGAGAGUGCACGGUGGCACUUUUCUUUUUUCCAUUUUUUAGAAACUUGCAAAAAUUCCAGAGAGAUUAAUACUUGUCCAAAUUCAUUAAUUCAAACUCCUAAAUUCUUCUAAAAUUCCAUGUUAUUAAAUGGUGAAACUUUAUAUUUUCCACCGCACUUUUUUGUACUUCUCAAAUUUAAAUUCCAAUUUGAGAUACUAGGAGGCACUUUUUAAAAUUCCUAGAACCCACAAAUCAACUCCAAAUGGAGUGAUUAAAAUUCCUAGAUGUUCCAAAAAUGUUUCUUUAUUUAUAUAGCCUUAUUUAACAUUUUUCCUAUGCUAUAUUUUGGUUUGACCAAAUAAAAAGCCCCAUUUUCCCAUUUAAGUCUUCUCAAAAAAUCAUAGGAAAAUCAGCCCAACUCCAAAUCCACUUAAACUACUUUCUAAAUUCAUCUAAAAUCAGGCCCUAAUUAAUAGGCGCAUCCACUCAUUUUUGUUAAAAUAUUUUCUGUAGUUCUUAUAAAAUCAUUAAUCCCUCCAUUUCCACCUUUUAAAAAUUAUUGUUGAUCCAACUCAAGUAGUACCACUUCAGGUAUUUUUCUUGUGACCACAGGUGACCAAGAAAAAUAUAACUCCUAUUUUAGAAGACUUUUAUUUGUCUGCUUGUUGUGUUGCUUAUUGUGGGCGUUUCACACGAUAGUUGACGAAGUAGACGAAGUGCUCGGAGUUGGACUUGAAGCUCGUGAAGACCUCGAAGACUUUGCCGAACUAGUCAAGUGGACCAUUGACCAUGUCGAAGAUACCAUUUUAUGCAUGCCAUGUAGCACUUUUAUUCGGUUACAUUGAAUCAUGAUGAUUCAGUGACCAUCGUGGUGAGUUACCUCGGUUACUUUUUGCUUGUUGAUACUUGCACUAGGUAUGACCCUACCUUCCUAUGAGGGUUGUGCGGGUGAAAAGUAGUUAGGAUGCUAAGUAGUUGCUAUGCAAGAGGGAUGGGAAUAUACAUGUUGUCGGAAAAAAAUGAUUUCAAAGACUUUUCGAAAACCCCAUCGACUGCCACUAAUGCCCGAGGGAGGUGGUGUUGAUCUCGGUAACCACUUGAGAAAGAAGUGGUGUACCAAGGCAAGUGAGUGUGUUGUUUUUGAAAAUUGAUUGGUUUAAGUUGCUACCGUUACUCCAACCUUGCAUGUGCGACUACGAUACCCCUUUAUGGGAUGGGUCUUUGUUGGUUACUUUGGUUGAUGCUUGCAGAGAGCCCACAUUACUAGUGGCGAGAGAGGCAGAGUUACUCUCUCGAUACGAGGUCGUGCUUGGUAGGGCGAGCAUGGGCUGUUUUCACACACACCGGGCACACUGUUAUGUGCCCUCAUGGAUGGUACGGUCUUGAGUGAGGCUCGUAUGAUGUACAUCAUGAAGGAUGGCACCAACGAGUGCACUCUUUGUUUAGUGUCGCCAAGGGAAAGGCAUUGUUCGGGUGCUUGAUAGUAUCCAAUGUAUCGAUAAUUUAUGAAGCAUUCAUGACAUAUUUGCCUAUGUUUCUAAUACUUUUAUAUGGUUUUGAUGCACUUUAUAUGAUUUAUUUAGAACUAACCCGGAUUGACAUUGUUUUCAGCGGAAUUAUAAUGGUGUAGUUUUUGUGUAGAAAAUGAAAGUUCUCGGAAUCGCCCAAAACAUUUUUAUAACUUUUUCUGGAGGAAAUCAGCAAUAUUGGAGCGAAGAACCACUAGAGGGGAGCCACCUGUGGGCCACGAUCCAACAGGGCGCCCCCUAUGUCGUGUCGUGAUGGCUUGUGAGGCCCAUAUGGCUCCGUUUAGCGUGAUUCCAACGCUAAAAAAUCCUAUAUAUGCCAGAAACCCCAGAAAUAAAGAGACAACUUCCGCUCCACCGCCACAACUCUCUAUACCGCUGAAAAACCCAUCUGGAGCCUUUCCGGUACCCUGCCGGGGAAGGGAAAUCAUCUCCAGUGGCCAUCUUCAUCAUCCCGGCGGAGGCCAUGACAAGGAGGGAGUAGUUCACCCUCGAGGUUGAGGGUAUGUACCAGUAGCUAUUUAUUCGAGCUCUCUCUCUCUCUCUCUCUCUCUCGUGUUCUUGAGUUGGCACGAUCUUGAUGUAUCACGGGCCUUGUUAAUAUAGUUGGAUCAUAUGUUGUUAUUCCCUCGCUACCAUGUUGUGAUGAAUCGAAUAUUUCCCUUCAAGAUCUUGUUAUGUUGGAUUGAAUAUUUUGGUUUGAGAACACUUGAUGUAUGUCUUGCAUGCGGAUACCCGUAGUGACAUUGGGGUAUUCAAGUGGUUCACUUGAUAUAUGUUAUGGCAUCAACUUGCGGAUUCGGUGACUUUGGGGAUCUAUGCAUAGGAUUUGAUUACACGUUUUCAUACUAUGUUCUCCGAUAGAACUCUUGGGGUGCUCCUUGAAGUUCUUUGUGUUGGAUUGAAUAUGAUAGAUCAGAAAUUAUUUGAUGCAUGUUGCAUAAUUUACCCACGGAUACUUGAGGUGACAUUGGAGUAUCUAGGUGGCAUUAGGGUUGAUUGAUAUGUAUCAUGGUUGUUAUUCUAGUACGAACUCUACGGUUGUUUGUAACACUUAGAAUAGCUCAACGGAUUGAUCGGAAAGAAUAACUUUUAGGUGGUUCUACUACCUACGCCAAUUUCAUCUUAUUAUUCUCCACUAGAUAGGAACUUUGGAGUGGUUCUUUGUUGCACUUUGAGGGAUGAUCAUAUGAUUCUAUUAUGUUAACAUUGUUGAGAGAUUGCACUAGUGAAAGUAUGAAUCCUAGGCCUUAUUACCAAGCAUUUAUACAACAUUUUGAUCGUUGUUUUACACUUGCUACCUUGAUGUUUUUAUAUUUUCAGAUUAGAAAACCUAUACCUACUAUCCAUACUACACUUGUAUCACCAUCUCUUCACUGAAGUAGUGCUCCUAUACAAUUUUCCAUUGUAUUGGGUGUGUUGAGGACACAAGAGAUUUCGUGUAUUAGAUUGCGGGGUUGUUUGAGAGAGACCAUCUUCAUCCUACACCUCCCACGGAUUGAUAAGCCUUAGGUCAUCCAUGUGGGAAAAUUGCUACUGUGCUACAAAACUUUGCACUUGGAGGCCCAACAUAGUCUACAAGAAUAAAGUUGUGUAGUAGACAUCAAGCUCUUUUAUGGCAUAGUUGCCGAGGAGGUGAGUGCUUUCAGGUAUAUAUUUAGAUCUUGCAAUUAAAUCUUUUAGUAUCUUGUUUUUCACUAGUUUUGUUUAUAAAAAAGAAAACUACAGAAAAUGGGAUUUAGGUUGCCUCAUUUGUUUCGACUCUAUAAUGUCUAUUAUGAAAAUGAUGGUUCGGAAAAUUGUGCUCAAUUGCUAUAGGAAUAAUUUAUGUAAAUGCUUAAUGUGAAAUCCUUGAAUGAUGAGAAUGAUAGCAAUAUUGUUGGUAUAAAUUCUCUGAAUAUCCAUCAUGCUAAUGAUAUGCAAAGCCACAAGCUAGGGGAUGCUAUAUUUGAUGAAGAUGCUAUUUUUAGUCCCCCAGGUUUUGGUGAGCAAAUUUAUUAUGAUGAACUCAUGCCUCCUAUCUAUAUAAGGAAGUGAGCCUACCUCACUUGUCUAGUGGAGUGGAUGUACAACCCAGCCACCUGGGUUCAAGUCCCUACGGGCGCGAAUUUAGGUUCUUAUUAUUUCCCAAAAAACCUCGAUGUGGGGUGUUUCCCUUACAGUUUUCCUUCAAAAAACAUCUAUGCUAUAAAUAAUAAGGAUAACCAUGAAACUUGUUAUCAUGAUUUUAAUUUUCACAAGGAUUAUAUCAAUCACGUAUCUCAUGAUAGUUAUUUUGUUGAGUUUACUCCCACUACUAUGAAUGAGAAGAAUUUUGCACGUGUGGGUAGUAAUAAAAAUUAUAUGCUUGUACAUCAUGAAAAUAAUGCUUUAUGUGAUCAUUAUAUUAUUGAAUUCCUUCAUGAUGCUACUAAAAAUUAUUAUGAGGGAGGAACAUAUGCUUGUAGGAAUUGCAAUAAUAUCUAGUUUCCUCCCUGUGUGUUCAGAGUUUUGAAGUCAUGCUUGUUUUGCCUUCCUAUGCAAGAUGAUUAUUGUUACAAUUAAUUGUUUGAUUAAAAAACCCUAUGCAUAGGAAGUGGUUUAGACUUAAAUGUUCUUGUCAUGUGAUUCAUGAUGCUCUCUUCCAUGCCUCAGUUACUACUUUUUAUACGAGCAUCAUUAAAAUCAGCAUGCCUAGCUAAAAGGUAUUAAAGCAAAACGCUUUUUGGGAGACAACUCAACACUUUUCUUUAUUUAUUUUGUGUGUUCACAUGAUUAAUCUACUGUGCAAUCAUGUUUUAUAGCUUUUGUUUCAAUAAAGUUCCAAGUAAAACCUUUGGAAUAGUGUGCAUACUUGUUUGUUUGAUUUUGUGUAAAAACAGAAACUUUUACGUGAGGUAUAUGAAUUAUGUGAUUUUACUAGGCCAUCAAAAAAUUCUGAAUUUUGUACAAAACAAUUACAUGCAAAUUAUCUGCGGUUUCCUAAUUUUUUAGAAUUGUUAGAGUCGGGAAAGUAUGGUGUCCAUUCAGAUCUUCACAAACUGUUCUGUUUUUUACAUAUUCUGUUUUGCAUGCAUAGUUUGCUUAUUUUAAUGUUUACAUAGCUUAUAUUUGGUGAUAUAAAAUAUGGGAAUGAUAGAAUAAAGUAGGUAUCAUGUGAUAACAAUUAUGAAUCUUUUCAUGACAGUACCUAAGUGAAUGAUCUAUCUUUAUUACACUAACUCAUCUCACAAAGUUUCGUUAAGUUUUGUGUGAUUGAAGUCUUCAAAUUUUAGGUAAGAUACUGAUAUUAGGUAAAUAAGGAGAAUAAAGAACCUAAGAUUGGACACCCGCAAGGUAAUAUCCAAGGAGUACUCAAGCGUCUAAGCUUGGGGAUGCCCCGGAAGGCAUCCCCUCUUUCGUCUCCAACAUUAUCGGUAUAUCUUAAUUGGAGCUAUAUUUUUAAUGUUCACAUGAUAUAUGUUUCAUUUAUAGCAUCAUUUUAUUUUUAUUCUCUGUUAGAUGUUAUUUAUAAUCUUUUUUUUCAAUAAAAAUUUUCCAAGAAUUGCCUAUAGAAUGCUUGAAUUACAUGUGUGAUGUGUGCUGUACAAAAACAGAAACUUUUGCAGUAGUAUUCGAAUUAUCAGAUUUUACUGGAACGUGGAAAGUUUCUGAAAUAUAUACACAGUACUUUAAUACAAAUUCUUUAUCACGUCCUAAAUUUUCAGAAUUGUUUGAGUUACAUAAGUACACUAUUUAAAUAGAUUUCUACAAACUGUUUUAUUUGGACAGUUUGUUGUCAUAGUUCUGUUAUAUACUUAUCCUAGAGUUUUCAUGGCUUAUAUUAGUGGAUAUAAAUUGUGUAAUUUAUAUUAUACGGUACCUAAUGUUCUAAAAUUAUUAUGCAACUUGUCUUGGCAGUACAUGAAGUGUUGAUUUAUUCUUAUGUGUACUAACAUAUCUCAUGAGUUCUUUUCAAGUUUUGUGUGGAUGAAGUUUUUAAGACUUAGGUGAAACCGGAAUAUGAGAGGAUUGAACGAGAUACAAAAUCUCAAGCUUGGGGAUUCCCAAGGAACCCCAAGUAAAUAUUUCAAGAAGUCUUAAGCAUCUAAGCUUGGGGAUGCUACGCAUCCCACUUCUCUUCGUCAACAAAUAUCGGUUUGCCUAUGUUGAGCCUAAAUUUUUAUUUGUUCACAUGAUAUGUGCUAUUCUUGGAGUGUAUUUUUGUUUUCUUUGUUGUUUGAAAUAAAAUAUAAGAGCUGAAAAUCUUCAUUGAGAGAGAUUCCUCGCAUAUCUACUUAAUUGUUUGACUACUCAUUGAUCUUCACUUAUAUAUUUUGAGAGUAGUUUGAUUGUUUGCUCUUGUGCUUCACUUAUAUCCUAAGAAUAAAUUUUGAAUGAAUGAAAUAUCAUAAAUAUGAUGUGCUUUAUAUCUUGUAGUAGUUACCCAUUUGGUUUAGAAAAGUAAAAUCUAUUGAAGUUUGACAAUCAUUGUAUUGGCCAUAUGAGCAAUUCAUGAAUGAUUAGUAUAAGAAAGAGAACUUUCACAUUCAAAUAUAUUAUCUUGGACAUAUUUUAUUAUUGUGAAUAGCCAUUAAUUAUUUUCAGCCUCGAUCAAAUAGUUUAAGUUGGACAACGAAGACAACGUAAUGGUUAUGUUUCGGUAUAUUUGCAUAGAAGUUAUAUUGUUAUGGAUCCUUCAACAUGUGGUCCAUGAGAGUCCAAGUUUCUUUGAGGUGACAUUGGAGUAUCUAGGUGACAUUAGGGUUGAUUGAUAUAUAUCAUUGGUGUUAUUCUAGUACGAACUCUCGGGUUGUUUGUGACACUAGUAGGAAUAGCUCAACAGAUUGAUUAGAAAGAAUAACUUUGAGGUGGUUCUACUACCUACACUGAUUUCAUCUUAUUGUUCUCCGCUAGAUAGGAACUUUGGAGCGAUUCUUUGUUGCACGUUGAGGGGUGAUCACAUGAUUCUAUUAUGUUAACAUUGUUGAGAGAUUGCACUAGUGAAAGUAUGAACCCUGGGCCUUAUUACCAAGCAUUUAUAUAACGUUUUGCUUGUUGUUUUACACUUGCUACCUUGUUGUUUUAUAUUUUUCACAUUACAACAACCUAUAUCUACUAUCCAUAUUACACUUGUAUCACCAUCUCUUCGCCGAACUAGUGCACCUAUACAAUUUUCCAUUGUACUCGGUGUGUUGGGGACACAAGAGAUUUCUUGUAUUUGAUUGCAAGGUUGUUUGAGAGAGACCAGCUUCAUCCUACACCUCCCACGGAUUGAUAAAUCUUAGGUCAUCCACUUGAGGGAAAAUUGGUAUUGUCCUACAAAACUCUGCGCUUGGAGGCCCAACAUAGUCUACAAGAAUAAAGUUGCAUAGUAGACAUCAGUGCUUACCUCGGGUAUGCAAUAUACUGCGAGUUAGGGUUGACACGGGUGUUCCUUGAGGCUUGUGGGCAAAGUGUGCAACCUGUGCGGAGUGUAAAACUAUUCAAAUAGUUGUGUCCACGGGCAAGGACAGUUGGAUGACUACUCUUGGGCUACGCCCAAUGUUUACAAACUUGGUGUGUGUGUGUGUGUAGGUGAGAAAGGUGAUAUUUGAGCUAAGUCAUAUGACCUGACAUGAUAAUUGAACAUGAUAUGUUCAACCCCUUCCUAUAUUGAUAGCAGUAACUUGUUCAUAUGGAUAUCUACAACCUCAUGAUGCAUGCUUUUACAAGAUGAUUGAUCAAGUCUUUGCAGUCAAAACUAGCUUUCUGUAACUUAUAUGCUUAGUGUUAUAUCACGCAUUGUUAUUGCCUUGUUUCAAACAUGGGUUGCUUGCAAGUACAUUCAAAAUACUCAUUGGCUUGCCACUGGCAAUUUAAUUGGCCACGCAUUAAAGAGCAGGAAUAUGGUGAAGAGUUCAUUGGUGCCGAACGUGCGAACUAGGACGCUUCCCUGUUAGAAUGCAUGUGGGGUUAAGGCAGAUGGCAUGGGUUCACGCUAUCGAUGAAGAUUUUUGCUGUGAGUUUAUGAAGACUUGGUCAUGAAGGCCAUAUCUGAGUAAAACGAUGCAUAAUGGAUGUAAGGCUCUUGUUAUUCAGUUUUUGUGUGUUUAAUGAGCAUUGAUCUCUGAGAUCACUAUGCACGUACAUUCGGUGAUCAUGACUUAUGAGUCGGGGUCCCCACGGGUGGCAUGAGCUCAGCUCUAAUAUUCGUGAACUUGGCAUCGCCCUCUAGCUACGUCGAUUGUUUUCCUUCCUUUGUUGAUUGGCCUUCAGCAGCUCCGCUGUGUAGUUUUGCUUCUCCUCGUGUGUAGUUCUCAUUUAGUUUGAUGCUUCCCUUCGUUGAGCUCAAUGUUGUUUGGUGCCGGUGUCCUGGUGUGGUCUUCCGAUUGGCAAUGGCGCCGAUCUCAGCCCUCAGGUGGCAUCUCCACCUUCUGACGGAUCGACACCCUUCGUGUCGGGCGAGGGGAUAGGGAGCCCCCUAUGAAGGUGGAGGAGGUUGGCAUCGUCGUCCAACGCUCUUGGAGCUGACAUGGUGCUCUUCCAUCUAUCGGUUGGUUCUUCCCUAAGCAUUUGCUGGUGUCCUGCGUGGGGCUCUACUCGAUAUGGAGGACUUCUUCAACAUCUACAUGUAGUUGUGCUUUAGCUUCCAUAUCUUUACUAGUAGUUCGUGGUAGCCUGUUAGCUAUUUACACAACACCUUGUAUCGUCUCGCUGUUUUCUUUUCUAUUUUUCUUUGUUGUUCGAUGUAAUCCUGGUCUCUUGGUGGCUUUGUUAAUUCAAAGACGGCCUCUUCUGGAGCCUUCGUUGUAAAAAAAUUAAACGGGGAGGAUCCUAUUAUGUGUGUAACAUAUAGGCUAUAUCUUGGUUACUACAAGAUAUACCCUCGUCUCGCCUCUAUCGCUUCACUAACGGAUCGACCUAAUAUUGUAGCUUUCUAGAAGCAAAUAUUUGAAGCUUCUACGGACUGGUUUGGACUAAUUUUAGAAAUUUUCAUUAGGUUUUUUUCCAUCUUUGUUGUCAGUUGGACAUUUCUUAGAUACAUGUUGAACAUUUUUCAAAUACACGUUAAACAUUCUCUUGAUUACAUGUUGAACAUGUUUCUGAAGCGCAUGAAAAAAAAAUGAUGAUCAACUUUUUGAAUAACAUGAACGUUUUCUACAAAUUUCGCUAGCAAUUUUUGACAUUACAUGAACAUUUUUCAAUGUGGUGAUUUUUCUAAAAAUAAUAACUAAAUUAAUAUUUAACAAUAUAUAUUUGUAAUAUUUUGAAAUAUAAACAAAAAUAUAAAAUAAUGAAAACAAACGAUCGAAGCAAUCCAGCGUACAUUGCGCCUAGCAGUUCUACUCUCUGGCAACUGGUGCAGCAUGGUGUUUCUUAUUUCCCUUUUUUUUAGAAGGUCCGUUUCCAAUUUCCCGUGUAACACCUGUAGUACGGGGCUAACCGACUCGAUUAUUGUCCCACUCAAUUAUUCCUGCAUAUAUAGGGUCUCGCCUGGAAAAAAAAUUCUGUUCUUCAUUUUAGGCCGUUUUCUUACAAAUAUUUUGGAACAAAAAUUACUGAACAUUUUAGUUAAUUCAAUCCUAUCGAGAACAUGUAAAAUUCAAAUUUUGAGAACAUUUCUAUUUUAAAAAAAUAUUUUCUAAUUCGAAGAAUUUUUACAAAUUUCAGAAUAUUUCUUGAAUUUCAGAACAUUUAAUUAAAAAAUCAAAUUCUAGAACAGUUUGUUGAAUUUGAGAAUUUUUACAAAUUUGAACAUAUUUUCAAUUUGAAGCUUUAGAAAACAUGUUUUUUCAAUUUCAUGAUUUUCAGAAUUGUACUCCCUCCGUCCCAUAAUAUUUUAUUUUCUGAACUUUUUAAAAAUCUGAGGACAAUUUUAAACUUAUGAACGUUUUUUGAACUUUGGAAACAAUUUUUGUGUUUCUUAUCACAGCCGUUCCUUGUGGCAGAAAUUCUUACUGCUUCUCCAGGAGAGUAUCUUGCUCUCCAAGAACAGGCUUUUUGAUAGCCCCUAAAAACCGGGCCUGAAAACCAAGCGCUUGUAUAAUUUUUGAGUUUGGCUUGCCCGUUGAUCAGCCCGUAGGGAAUAUUACAGUUCCAAAGGCGCAAUGGUUGCUGGGCCCCGCAACCUUCAUAGCAUGGAUCUCUGACCUAAUCAAGAAGAUGGAGGCACAACACAUAGUAUGGAUCUUAUUUUUGCUAUAGCACCUAUCACAGAUGGCAAGAGACACACCAGGUGGCUUUGUCCCAUACACAAGUUUGUAGGAGUUCUCUUUAAAAAAAAUGAACAGCACCCUUUCAUUUUUAUUUUUUGCGAGAUCCUUUCAUCCAUUCUUAACUUGUUCAUUACAUAUAAUGGAUAUUUGCAUGUAAUGGACGAUCCAGGCUCAUCGGCACCCGCGUUGAAUAAUUUUUUUAAAACAAAUACUAAAAAAUCAAACAAAUUAAAAAAAUGCAUGGUAGAUAUUUGGGUGCCUGAGGUGCGCUCCAAAUUUCAAACCAUUUUGACUUCAGAGUAGCUCUAGCAAAAAAUACAAAUUUGGAGUUUGUAAAAAAAGUUUACUGUUCAUGUUGUCUUUUUUUGCUGAGAGCUACUUAUAUGCCCAAAUCAUCUGAAUUUUGGAGUGUACCUCACGCACCAAAUUAGCUAUCAUGCAAAAAAAAAUUGGAUUCUUUUGAAUUUGUUUGUGAUUUUUAUUAACUAUGUGCAGAUGAUCCUGGGCUCAGAAAUGAAUAUCGCAUAUAAUGGUCCUAAUCUCGUCGGGAAACACAUUAAACCAGCUAGACUCAACAUUAUGUCCUACAAAUUUUGCAAGGACAUGGGCCGCCUCAACACAAAAAUGUUUUACAUGACCGAAAUCACAUGAUCUUAAUAUCCUGGACAAUGGCACCAAAGGGGGUCUGUUUAGGCCAGUAUACUGUAGCUUGUUGAUUGGCGUCAGACAAUCAGAAGCUACCUGAAACUUCUGAAAUCCAGCAUUUUUGCCAAGAAACAGCAAGAACUUCAGCCACUUCAGGACUUUUGGUAUGAUCAAAUGUUCUCGGUAUGUUGCCACAAGCGCUCCUAGAUGAUUUCGAACCACAAUUCCAUAGCCACCUCAUCCCGAGUGGGAGAAAAUUGCAGCGUGGACAUUUAUCAGCAACCGACCUUCCGGUGGGGGAGACCAUUUCUGAGUUGAUGUCGGGAUCUCAGUUUGGCAGGCUGAUAUUACAUAAAUUCAUGAAUUCAGUAUAAGCCUUGAUUUUCCCCCACGACACGAAGAGGAUUAAGCAGUGCCUCGCCAUUACGAUAGUUGUUCCUGUUCUCUAAAAUAUGGCACAUAGCCACCGCCAGAAUCGUGAAAGUUUUGAGUUCUCUGUGUGUCUGUUGGGGGGGUUACAAAAGAAUUACAGAAGUUCGUAGGAGUUAGAGAAGAUGGAGGCAUGAAGCAACCAAGUGGGCCUUUGGUAAAGCUUGAGGCAAAGCCAAGGGGAAGAGGGGGGACCACAACAAAGGUUUAACGCGGCAACAUUGUUACUAGAAACCAAUGGGGAAUGCGACCGGGGUUCACUAGAAUUGGAGAAGAUGAUGGCAAGCGAUAGUGCAAAGAGGCGAUGACGAAGUGGUGCCAUAUAAACUACUGUUUCCUCACAAAGAAAAGAGGUAUUGUUUGCAUAUAAAUUACAGCUCCAUACAAAGUAGUCAAGGCUUGAAGCAAUACAAACAGUAGUAUACUGUUAUAUAUGUAAUGAACAAGUUAAGAAUGGAUGAAAGGAUCUCGCAAAAAAAUAUUAGAAUUGCUCUGUUAUAUAUUAAGUGUCGCUUAUUUAGUACUCUCUCCGUUUCAUAAUACUAGAUGAUGCCACGCACGUUGCUGCAGGAAACAUUAUAAACCGAUGUAUAAAUAGAUGUUGUAAAACAAAAACUAUUGCUAAAAAAUAUUAGAAUUGCUCUGUUUUUUAUUUUAAGAACAAUAACUCAUAUGAAGCAUUUGACAGAAGAUGCGUAAAAAAGUGAAACAUGAUCUACAUGUAUUUGCUCUAAAGUAUAUAUCGUUUAUGCCCAUAACAAAAAUUAGUGAAAUAGUGUGUAGAUUAGUGCAUACAAUAUAACUUAUGAUCACAUGCAUGACUUGAUGAUGUGGCAUGGUUACAUUAGAAAAAAUAAGUAUUUAUGACAAAUGCAUGACUUGAUGAUGUGGCAUGGUUGCAUGAGAAGGAAAAAUAGGUAGUGGGUUUUAACUAUUUAAGAAUAGAAGAUGGUGUGGCAUGAUUGCAUGAGAAGGAAAAAUAGAUAGUGGGUUUUAACUAUUUAAGAAAUAGAAGAUAAGAGCGAGCGUUUUUUACGCCACUAGUGUACAAACUCCCUUAUUUUAUGAGAGUGGUGUAAAAAAGGCCUUAUGUUACUCCCAGCAGCCCUAAAUAUAAGUUUUUUUUGACAUUUUACUGUGAACUACAUACGAAUGUAUGUCAUAUUUUAGAGUAUAAAUUCACAUAUUUUGCUCCGUCUCUAGUGGAAAUAUCAGAGUACUAAACAGUAAACACUUAAAAUAUGAAAAAAAAAUAGAAAAGGAGGAUGACCCCCGGCCUCUGCAUCUGGGAGAUGCAUAAGGCCACUUUAUUAAUUAUUCUCGAGGACUUUACAAAGUAUUAUAACAAUAUGCAUGAAUCCAUCAUCUUGGCAAAAAGUGCCGCUACUCCUAUCCAUAUGAUCUAGGGGUGCUAGUUGUGCCCUUAUCCAGACCACUCACGUGAGCCUAACAUCAAAAGCCGGAAGCCUCAGCCGAGCCAAAUACUUAAAAUAUGGAAUGAAGGGACUGUAUGACAAGGCAAUGCAAUGCAGCAGUGGUGGCAAAAUACAGAUAAUCUGUCCAUCCAAAGUACUUCCUCCGUUCCAAAGUGUUGAGAAGAUUCAUUAUGAAGUUCGUAAGUUUUUUCGUAGGCCAAAUUUAAAGUAAUAGCUUCACAAGUGUCUGGAAAAAUCGGCAAAUGUCUAGGAGUACAAUAUAAAAUAUAUACUGCAACAUGAAAUACAUUUCAUAAUUAAAUAAUGCUUGUAAAGGGCAUGUUUACUGAAAUGUUGAUUCCCUGCUGUGAUAACCACACAUUUUCAACAUUGACAAGAUACUGAGAGCACAAGCAUCUGUAGGCUAUAUGAAAUCAGAUAACUUUAGUGUAUGUAUCCAUAACAGCUCCACACGAACGAUUCCAGCGGCAAUAAAAUUCAAAGCAAAGUAAAUGACCAGCGGGCAACAUAAGCAUCAUACACGAGAACUAUGCAUCAAUACUGCAAUCUGCUUAUCAUGUUUCUUGAUGAAUUCCAUAAUAACAAUGCCAGCUCCAAACUGCGUGGGAAUGAGCUGAGUUUUACAUAUACAUAUGCAAAAGCAAAUUUGGUGGUUCUGUAAACGACCGAACCCGAUUUUAGGAUUAUGUACAGGAGCAUCUAUUAUAAAGAAGAUACUUGAGAGCAUAGCUAUCGCCAUGCUGCGCCUUCGAUCGUGGAUCACCAGGUGAUCAUUUGCAGAAUUUAAUCACCAUGGCCGUUGGCUGUACCAAUGCCGUGAUGCAAAUGUUUACGCGCUGCUCUUCUUGCCGUCAAUUGCAAUGCCAGAGAAAGCACCUAUAGGCUUGGCCAGGGUACGCCUCUGAGCCUUCACUGACAGUGGGCUGUCCUUGGCCUAUUCAUGAAGCAACAAAACCAGUUAGAAUCAGAUACCUAAGACUCCUAGUCAACUUGCUAGAGAUUUACAUGACAUCAUAACCACAUUAAUUGAAGAAAACAGUAUGAAAUGGUCUGAGCUAUUACCGCAAGGCACGUUCCCUGCUUGGUGUUGCAGAUGGGAUAGUUAUGAGGGCAGCAGCUGUAGUGAUCAUCGCAGCAGGUAGCACCCUCAAGUGGGCAACAGCCCCAGGCGAAGCACUCCUUGCCGUACUCGUAGAUGCAGCAGCAGGUCGUGCUCGCAGGGCACUCGUUGUAGCUGUCACAGACGGAAGACGGUGGGGCGGGAGACGGUGGAGUUGGGCCGGGGUUAGGGGGGUUCUCGCCCGUCUUCGUCGGGUAGGAAGGCUCGACAGCAAUACCACAUUUGCCACUGGAUGCCUUGAUGUUACGCUCCAUCCGGAUGUAACCAUCCUCUCCCCAGACGCUACCCCAGGAGUUCCUGACGAGCCAGUAGUCCUUGCCAUUCUCUGUACCAUAACCAACGGCGGCGACACCAUGGUCAAGUGCUGUUCCACAGGUUCCCGUGAAGAUACCCUAAGAAAAUAGGAAGUGAUAAUCAGUAUAAAUCAAAUGCUUCCGAAAGGUCGAACUCAUCGAUUUCAAAAAUGCUAGUUACACAUCGUUGAGGAAUUUACUAAUUGACAACAGUUUUAUCUGAAGAUGCUAUUUGAGUUGUUUUUUUGUAGUCUGGAUUUCCUCUUUUACUGUUUGAUCAAAUGAGUAGCGAAAAGGGUUUAAACAUCUUCAGAACCUGAUGUUCUACUUUAUUGAUUUCCAGCAGAAGUGGGUGAUAGCUCAGACCACUUAAUCCAAUAUGUUAUAGAUGUGAACACAUAAAAGUGACCCGUGCACUAAAAGUGCUUCCUAAAGCAGGGACAGAUGGGCAUGAUGAGCGCAUAGAAACGAUACUCUUGAAGAUUAGAAAAGGUGCAAAUUAUAUGGAUGAUGUCAAAGCAUGCAAGAGUCAGGCUGCGUCCAAGUUAACCAUAAUUGAGCGGUGGUAGUUGCAGAUUGCAACUGAGGUGAGGACAACAACAAAAUUAUUUUAGUGAAGGAGACGAUGAUAGAAGUUAGGUGCGUGGGCCAAACAGAGUAACAUAUUCAUACCAUUAAGAGAAAAUGUUCCCAAGCUCUCUCAAUCAGAAUGAUACCUAUCUAUUUUGGAAAUAAGGAGGUUCCAAUAACCUUUUGGUGCCUACUCAUUUGAUCAACCUACCGCAGAACAGUGAUGUUAAAGAAGCUCACCGAUUUGUAGAGCUGGAAUGCCCUGCCACCAGCCUCGAUCGCAACACUGAUGGGCUGGUUUGCAACUGCCUUUUGCAGACUCUUCUCACUGUUCACAGGCACAUCCUCGUACCCAUCAAUGGUAACAACCUUGGCAUUUUUCUGCAAAUUUCCCCCAAACACAAAUGGAACAGCAAAUCAAUAUGAUGCACACUCUUAAUAUUCAGAAGGGAAUUAAGAAGACGGAUGAUACCUUGUUAGCAUCGCAACGGUUGUCCCUCUCCUUGUAGGGGUAGUCCUCCUCAGAGUCAAUACCACCAUUGUUAAUGAUGAACUCAAAUGCAUAGUCCAUCAGACCUCCAUUGCAUCCCUGGUUGUAUGAAGUGUCACAGUCAACAAGCUCUUGCUCGGACAGAGGGAUCAUGUCGCCUGUGACAAUCUGGUUGAUGCCUUCGACAGCUGCUAUUGCUGAGAAAGCCCAGCAGCUCCCUGUAAAAGACAAACAAAUGUCAGAUUCCAGUAUCUUUGUGUAACGAUUUUAGUUGUAGAUCAAUGCACUGAUACAAGUGGCAAGUAGUAACAGAGCAACAAUACAUAGUGGUACAAAUUUCUUGAAAUUGCAGAUGAAGACAUGCUACCAAUCAGACGGCGAAACGUUCAAAGAGUCGUGAGGGAGAUGUGUACCCAAGGGCAUAAUGGACUUAUGUCAAAUAAUAGCAGAGGUGGAUGGUGAGACCACAUCCAACAAAUAACAGGACAAAUGGGUCCGCCAGCUUAUCAACUAGACAACGACCGCCACUACUUUGUAAUUUUCCUCCAUUGCAUACUCCAACAGCCUAAUGGAAUCAUGUGAAAUAAUAUCAGUACUAACUUAAUGUCCAUGUUCAAUGAACCUACUUCCAAAAUACGGAGUACUACGUAUAUCCAAACUCAUGAAGAUGAUGCUAACAGAGCUGUACUGACCUUCCAUAUUAGUAAAUCAUUCAGUACUACCACUGAAUCUAGCAAGUGAUACCAGAAGCUCUGACAGAAGCACAUACCGAAAAUAAGGUGUCCCAAUUGCUGAAACCUGAAUGACACUAUAACAUACUGCUACUAGAGACCAAUUAACACAUCCUACCAAAAUAAAUUUAAAUUUAAGAAAUUUUUAUUUUACUUCUGUGUGAAAUUAUACGCCGGCCUAAGAAUCGCAGAUCCCCUUUUCACUGUUCAAAUCGUUUAGGUGAAGCCUCUCAACAGCACCAAUUAUUGCACGUUCCCCUGCUUUCUGUUCAUGUGUAUACUAAACCAUGGCACGUUGACUAACAAAGUUCCCAAUUUACGCAACAGAUUGGAAUAUACUAGUCGCAAGAAUCUUCACUUAAAACCGUUAGUAUCCACCGAUAAUACUGCAAAAAGGAAACAAAAUAGAAGCAGCAGCAGCAGCAGAUGAGUCGAGGAUGCUUUGCUUACCACAGCCGCCCUGGUCCUUGACGGCACCAACUGCGCCCUUCUUCCUCCAGUCGACGGACUCGGGCAGCUCGUCGUUGUCGGCGGCCUGGUACCUGGCGCUGAGCUUCCGCUCCCGGUCGGGCUUAGUGCGGGCGCCGAGGUAGGUGCUGCGGUACUCCUCGUUGGUGAGGUCGGCGAAGCGGUUGAGGCCGAGGCGGAAGGAGUGGACCCCGGCGUCGGCGGCGGCGUUGUGCUGGUCGAUGUAGCGGAGGUUGUCCCGGAACGCCUCGAAGCGGCGCUCCUCCUCGCCGAUGGCGUUGUACGUACUGCCGUGCUCCGCCAUCCACUCGGCGUACAUCCGCCGGACCUCCUCCUCGCUCCGCUCCCCGUAGGACACGAUCGACAUGUCCGCCGCCGCCGCCAGCGACACCAUCAGCAGCAGCGCCGCCGAGGCCGCCAGCAGAGCCAUGGAGGUCCUCAUCCCCGAGACCAGAGGUGCGUCACCGAGCAGGAAGAGAGGGGUAGCAGAUGGGAUGGAUUGGGUAGCAGCCGUGCUUUUCUUCUCCAUGGACGAUGGUAUCGGAGGUCGCUUUAUAGGAA